CGGGUAGUAGCGAAGUGGUAGAGCUCCCGCUUCGUAUGCGGGAAGACCUCGGUUCGAUUCCUGGCUGCUUAC
rnacentral:tRNA from 1 species